UCUGAAGCAAGCCAUGUGGAUCUUCAAAGGACAUUGAAAUUGCAUUGUAAUAACCUGUAUCUCUGGAAUGAGCCAGGCGGGGGCUGCUGAUGGAAAUGCGUUCUGGUAAAACGAUAAAAAUAGAGGCUUGACUAUGAAUGUGAGCAGGCAUUUGGGGAACCAACGCCAUUGUCAGCAUAUUGAGACAGCAUCAACAGCUUUAACAUAGAACCUCCUGUAGAAGUGAAGUGAGAGAGGGAGCCAGGAUCAGGAACUUGAGGACCAUGCCACCAGGGGAUCAGGAACCACUCGUUGACUGGAACAGGUGCUGUCUUAAAUCAGGAUGCUGCACUAUCUGCCUACACACCAAAAUGUUGACACCUAGAUGGAUUGGUUCAAUAUGCUCAUACAACAGUUGAGUGGCAACCUGUUUCUGCACAUUGCUGAUGGUGUUUAACAGCCUUGUAUCCUGGUGAUAGUGGCAGCUACCAUCUACGACCCACACAUCCUUCUUGGACUCUUUGGCAUGCUCGGAUGAAGACUCCAAGUCGAAUGGUGAUUCUAGCUUAUAAGGGUCUUUGAACAGCACUUGACAUUCGUGAUCCUCUGUGUUAGUAGAGCAUAGGGGACCACUGAGAGAGUUUGUGCCUUAUCCACUUCAAUGUCUCUGUUUAAAAGACUUAAAAGUCUGACGGGCCAACCGAGGGUUUGGCACCCUACCCUUCUUGAUUUGUCCUUAUAGUGCAUAACAGAUACAUGUGUAAAUAGUUUUUAAUACAGGUAUUCC